UACAGAGGUCUCAAGCGUUGUUCGGAUUCAUUGGGCGUAAAGGGUGCGUAGGUGGCGGGGUAAGUCAGGUGUGAAAUCUCGGAGCUCAACUCCGAAACUGCACUUGAUGCUGCCUUGCUCAAGUACUGGAGAGGAGAUUGGAAUUUACGGUGUAGCAGUGAAAUGCGUAGAUAUCGUAAGGAAGACCAGUGGCGAAGGCGAAUCUCUGGACAGUUACUGACACUGAGGCACGAAGGCCAGGGGAGCAAACAGG
rnacentral:rRNA from 1 species